UCAUAUCCUGCUGGUGACUAAAUUCUGUGUGUAUGGAAAAAGCACUUAAAAUCUUUGAUGAUCAGUUACCUCAAUUUUACAAUAGAGAUAAUAAGAUGCCUACAAGUCAGAAUUAUUUAAGAUUUACUUGGGGGAGGGAGGGAUGGAACCAGGAUAGCAGAGUGUAGAGAGGUCUUUGAUUUCUUUCUGCUUUACCUCAGAUCAAUACUAGAUCAAACCUUUGAACCAGUUUUGGAGUGACAGAACCCACAAAUAUUUGGAGUGUUUCCAGCAGAAAAUAUUUUGGAAGAACAUAAAAGGUCAGAUUCUCCUGAGUUACAUGAUGUCUUUCAGGUGAGGAAGAGACAAAACCAAUGGAUGUCCAAUUGAGAAAUAUGAUGAGGAACAUCACUGGCUUGUGGAUAAUAUCAUAUAUAUAUUGUUUAUCCAUGUUUUUCAUAAAAAGAAAAACUCUUCAGGAAAAAACUUUUUUGUGGCAUGGGAAUGGGAUCCUGUCAGUGACUUAUUCAAUGGAAGUGGGUGCUUGUAUUUGUUAUUUGUGGACAAAGAACAGUUGUCCAGGAUUUAUUCUCAAGGAGGAUUGGGUGAACUGGUGUUUUUGGACUCUCAUUUUGAUCUUAUUCACAUUCAUAGUAAUAAUUCUUUUGAAAUUUUCGUAUGUAUAUUUCUCCUUUUUUUUAUAUUGAUGUUUUCAUUUAAUUUUGUUGAUAUUGCCAACAUCAUCUUUUUGAUGCCUAUAUUUAGAUUAUAUUUUUGGAGGAUUCUUCACGAUAUUCUUUGAAAAAUGUGCUCUACUUCUGAGAAAUAAGGGUCUCUGUCCCAACCUUCCUGUGCAGCUCUGAACCUUGGCUUUGAGCACAGAGGCUCCUUGUGUUUGGAGGGGGGAACUUUGACUGCUCUGUUCAGGAAACAGCCUGGAAACACUGAUUUGCUCUUAUACUGAGCUAGGACUGAGGGUCUUCAUUGUGAGUUGCUUUAAGACCCCCUUACCAAACCUUCCCACAGUCUUUCUGAACUGGCCUGAAUAUACUUUUCACCCCAAUGAGACUGACUUUUCUUGAACUUUUUUGAAUUCGUGUUGAGUUGGAAAGUAGGUUCAUUCCAUUAGACUCUAUGCAGAGGCUUGGUUUCAUGUGAUUUUCCAGGAAAACUGGGAGAACUGGAGCAGCUCCCUGACUGUACUAUCUUGCCUCCACCCCACUCUUCUUAUUUAAAGGUUUGAGUUCCAAAUUCUGUCUCUCUCUUCCUUCUCUCCCCUCCCCAAGAUUAUAAGCAGUCAGAUAUAGUUUAUACAUGUGCAACUAUGUAAGACACUUCCCUAGUAGUCAUUUUGUACAAGACUCAAAUGAAAGAAAAAACUCAAUAAAGAGAUAAAUAUCAUGCUUCACUCUGAAUUCAACCAGUAUGAAUUUUUCUCUGAAGGUGGAUAGUGUGUUUUAUCAUUAUUCGUUUGCAAUUAUCUUCAAUCAUUGUGAAGUUGAAAAUAACUUUUAACUUGUAUUCAGCUUAUCUUCAUAAAACAGUAAUUCAAGUGGAACUUAUUCCUUAGACUUGUUGGCAUACAGAAAAUGGCCAGACUGCCCUGGCAAAAUAGUUAAGUAUCAUCCAGGGUUUAUCUCCCAGAGCAUUUGACCCUCAGUUUGCUAUGAAAUGGGAGAAUCCCAAGGGGAAGACUAACAAAGAUGAAGCCAGAGGAAAGGGAGGGCCCAAGGAAAAAGUUAAGCCAGGUGUCUUAGGACCUGAUCUGGAGGCAUCUAAGGAACAAAGCUGGGCUAUUUUAAAGAACAAGAUAUUUUUCUCCAUCUCUGCUCUCUCCCUCCAUCUUUUUUCUUUCUCUCCUUCUUUCCUUGUUUUUAUUUUCUUCCUGCUCACUCUCUGUUUCUUUCUUCUGUCUAAAGCUAGCACUAGCACCCAAACUACACAGGAUUCUGCCCCGCAUUCCUAUAUCCUCCCCUGGAAAGAGAAGGGGCAUUGCUUUCUACCUUCUGUCCUUGCUCCCUUCUAGUGCCAUUUGGUCCCCAGCCUCACCAUCCUUCUAUGUGGUACAGCAAAUACUGACUUUAUCCAAUGUGGUUGAAAGAGUCACUCAAAAACCCUUGAAAAUAUCAGUUUUUCUGUGCAUACCCUUUGAUCCAGCAGUGUUACUACUGGGAUUAUAUCCCAAAGAGAUUAUAAAAAAGGGAAAGGACCUG
ensembl:lncRNA